rnacentral:rRNA from 1 species
AGAAACCCGAAAGGUCGAAAGAGGAAAUUCAUUCGCGUUUCGAUAAUUGAAGUUGAACCGUUUGUAUGACGGAUAUUGUUUGUGUUUCGGCAUAUUACAAUAAAUCGCGUUUUACGUUUUUCUAAUCGAUAUCGAACGCGUGCACUUUUCCUCUAGUAGGACGUCGUGAUCCGUUGGGUGUCUGUCUAAGACUCGAGGUGGAGACCACUUGAUUUUAUUCGAAUUAGGUGGACCCUCGAUGUUCCGACAGACCCGCUCGACGGUAGAAAUAUGGCGCGGGGCCGCUAGAUUAAUUAGCGUUCGGCCCGUAGCAAGAGCGUUUCGUGUUUGACGGUAAUCGGACAUAAUGCCGAUUCUGUCCCGGAACGACUGUUGGUUACGGUGUUCUCGAACAGACCUCGUUUUGAAACGCCGAUCAACGACGCUAUCGAUUUGGGUAAUUUCAGGACCC